CGGGUGAGUAACACGUGAGUAACCUGCCCCUGACUUCGGGAUAACUCCGGGAAACCGGGGCUAAUACUGGAUAUGAGCCGCUUCCGCAUGGGGGUGGUUGGAAAGUUUUUCGGUCAGGGAUGGGCUCGCGGCCUAUCAGCUUGUUGGUGGGGUGAUGGCCUACCAAGGCGACGACGGGUAGCCGGCCUGAGAGGGCGACCGGCCACACUGGGACUGAGACACGGCCCAGACUCCUACGGGAGGCAGCAGUGGGGAAUAUUGCACAAUGGGCGCAAGCCUGAUGCAGCGACGCCGCGUGAGGGAUGACGGCCUUCGGGUUGUAAACCUCUUUCAGCAGGGAAGAAGCGCAAGUGACGGUACCUGCAGAAGAAGCGCCGGCUAACUACGUGCCAGCAGCCGCGGUAAUACGUAGGGCGCAAGCGUUGUCCGGAAUUAUUGGGCGUAAAGAGCUCGUAGGCGGUUUGUCGCGUCUGGUGUGAAAACUCGAGGCUCAACCUCGAGCUUGCAUCGGGUACGGGCAGACUAGAGUGCGGUAGGGGAGACUGGAAUUCCUGGUGUAGCGGUGGAAUGCGCAGAUAUCAGGAGGAACACCGAUGGCGAAGGCAGGUCUCUGGGCCGCAACUGACGCUGAGGAGCGAAAGCAUGGGGAGCGAACAGGAUUAGAUACCCUGGUAGUCCAUGCCGUAAACGU
rnacentral:rRNA from 1 species